rnacentral:rRNA from 1 species
CACGCCGUAAACGAUGAUAACUAGCUGUCGGGGCACAUGGUGUUUCGGUGGCGCAGCUAACGCAUUAAGUUAUCCGCCUGGGGAGUACGGCCGCAAGGUUAAAACUCAAAGGAAUUGACGGGGGCCUGCACAAGCGGUGGAGCAUGUGGUUUAAUUCGAAGCAACGCGCAGAACCUUACCAGCGUUUGACAUCCCGAUCGCGAUUUCCAGAGAUGGAUUUCUUCAGUUCGGCUGGAUCGGUGACAGGUGC